GGGUUGUGAGGUUAAGCGACUAAGCGUACACGGUGGAUGCCCUGGCAGUCAGAGGCGAUGAAGGACGUGCUAAUCUGCGAUAAGCGUCGGUAAGGUGAUAUGAACCGUUAUAACCGGCGAUUUCCGAAUGGGGAAACCCAGUGUGUUUCGACACACUAUCAUUAACUGAAUCCAUAGGUUAAUGAGGCGAACCGGGGGAACUGAAACAUCUAAGUACCCCGAGGAAAAGAAAUCAACCGAGAUUCCCCCAGUAGCGGCGAGCGAACGGGGAGCAGCCCAGAGCCUGAAUCAGUGUGUGUGUUAGUGGAAGCGUCUGGAAAGGCGCGCGAUACAGGGUGACAGCCCCGUACACAAAAAUGCACAUACUGUGAGCUCGAUGAGUAGGGCGGGACACGUGGUAUCCUGUCUGAAUAUGGGGGGACCAUCCUCCAAGGCUAAAUACUCCUGACUGACCGAUAGUGAACCAGUACCGUGAGGGAAAGGCGAAAAGAACCCCGGCGAGGGGAGUGAAAAAGAACCUGAAACCGUGUACGUACAAGCAGUGGGAGCACGCUUCGGCGUGUGACUGCGUACCUUUUGUAUAAUGGGUCAGCGACUUAUAUUCUGUAGCAAGGUUAACCGAAUAGGGGAGCCGAAGGGAAACCGAGUCUUAACUGGGCGUUAAGUUGCAGGGUAUAGACCCGAAACCCGGUGAUCUAGCCAUGGGCAGGUUGAAGGUUGGGUAACACUAACUGGAGGACCGAACCGACUAAUGUUGAAAAAUUAGCGGAUGACUUGUGGCUGGGGGUGAAAGGCCAAUCAAACCGGGAGAUAGCUGGUUCUCCCCGAAAGCUAUUUAGGUAGCGCCUCGUGAAUUCAUCUCCGGGGGUAGAGCACUGUUUCGGCAAGGGGGUCAUCCCGACUUACCAACCCGAUGCAAACUGCGAAUACCGGAGAAUGUUAUCACGGGAGACACACGGCGGGUGCUAACGUCCGUCGUGAAGAGGGAAACAACCCAGACCGCCAGCUAAGGUCCCAAAGUCAUGGUUAAGUGGGAAACGAUGUGGGAAGGCCCAGACAGCCAGGAUGUUGGCUUAGAAGCAGCCAUCAUUUAAAGAAAGCGUAAUAGCUCACUGGUCGAGUCGGCCUGCGCGGAAGAUGUAACGGGGCUAAACCAUGCACCGAAGCUGCGGCAGCGACACUAUGUGUUGUUGGGUAGGGGAGCGUUCUGUAAGCCUGUGAAGGUGUACUGUGAGGUAUGCUGGAGGUAUCAGAAGUGCGAAUGCUGACAUAAGUAACGAUAAAGCGGGUGAAAAGCCCGCUCGCCGGAAGACCAAGGGUUCCUGUCCAACGUUAAUCGGGGCAGGGUGAGUCGACCCCUAAGGCGAGGCCGAAAGGCGUAGUCGAUGGGAAACAGGUUAAUAUUCCUGUACUUGGUGUUACUGCGAAGGGGGGACGGAGAAGGCUAUGUUGGCCGGGCGACGGUUGUCCCGGUUUAAGCGUGUAGGCUGGUUUUCCAGGCAAAUCCGGAAAAUCAAGGCUGAGGCGUGAUGACGAGGCACUACGGUGCUGAAGCAACAAAUGCCCUGCUUCCAGGAAAAGCCUCUAAGCAUCAGGUAACAUCAAAUCGUACCCCAAACCGACACAGGUGGUCAGGUAGAGAAUACCAAGGCGCUUGAGAGAACUCGGGUGAAGGAACUAGGCAAAAUGGUGCCGUAACUUCGGGAGAAGGCACGCUGAUAUGUAGGUGAAGCGACUUGCUCGUGGAGCUGAAAUCAGUCGAAGAUACCAGCUGGCUGCAACUGUUUAUUAAAAACACAGCACUGUGCAAACACGAAAGUGGACGUAUACGGUGUGACGCCUGCCCGGUGCCGGAAGGUUAAUUGAUGGGGUUAGCGCAAGCGAAGCUCUUGAUCGAAGCCCCGGUAAACGGCGGCCGUAACUAUAACGGUCCUAAGGUAGCGAAAUUCCUUGUCGGGUAAGUUCCGACCUGCACGAAUGGCGUAAUGAUGGCCAGGCUGUCUCCACCCGAGACUCAGUGAAAUUGAACUCGCUGUGAAGAUGCAGUGUACCCGCGGCAAGACGGAAAGACCCCGUGAACCUUUACUAUAGCUUGACACUGAACAUUGAGCCUUGAUGUGUAGGAUAGGUGGGAGGCUUUGAAGUGUGGACGCCAGUCUGCAUGGAGCCGACCUUGAAAUACCACCCUUUAAUGUUUGAUGUUCUAACGUUGGCCCCUGAUCGGGGUUGCGGACAGUGUCUGGUGGGUAGUUUGACUGGGGCGGUCUCCUCCUAAAGAGUAACGGAGGAGCACGAAGGUUGGCUAAUCCUGGUCGGACAUCAGGAGGUUAGUGCAAUGGCAUAAGCCAGCUUGACUGCGAGCGUGACGGCGCGAGCAGGUGCGAAAGCAGGUCAUAGUGAUCCGGUGGUUCUGAAUGGAAGGGCCAUCGCUCAACGGAUAAAAGGUACUCCGGGGAUAACAGGCUGAUACCGCCCAAGAGUUCAUAUCGACGGCGGUGUUUGGCACCUCGAUGUCGGCUCAUCACAUCCUGGGGCUGAAGUAGGUCCCAAGGGUAUGGCUGUUCGCCAUUUAAAGUGGUACGCGAGCUGGGUUUAGAACGUCGUGAGACAGUUCGGUCCCUAUCUGCCGUGGGCGCUGGAGAACUGAGGGGGGCUGCUCCUAGUACGAGAGGACCGGAGUGGACGCAUCACUGGUGUUCGGGUUGUCAUGCCAAUGGCACUGCCCGGUAGCUAAAUGCGGAAGAGAUAAGUGCUGAAAGCAUCUAAGCACGAAACUUGCCCCGAGAUGAGUUCUCCCUGACUCCUUGAGAGUCCUGAAGGAACGUUGAAGACGACGACGUUGAUAGGCCGGGUGUGUAAGCGCAGCGAUGCGUUGAGCUAACCGGUACUAAUGAACCGUGAGGCUUAACCUUACAACGCCGAAG
rnacentral:rRNA from 1 species